AAAAGUUGUGGCUAAAGGUUGGGUUCGAAGUGUAGAUCCCAAUCACGAUGUUGGAGGAAAACGACUAGGAUUAAAUUGGUGUGAAGUUCAAGUUUCAGUUCCUAUAGAAUGGGAAGAAGAUUUGAUUAGGCCAUAUUCAAACUUGUCCACAAUUGGAGAUGCAAUUGGAGCAUGCAUUGCAUGGCCUCGACACUUGGUGACUGACGACGAUGAUGAUUGAAGAAGAUUGAUCGUGCUGGCUGCUGUUCUCUUUUUUGCUGUAUUUUUUUUGGUCUUUGCCACGACAAAAUGAAUGAAAGAAACUUAGUUAUGGUUAUUUCCUCAAAAAUCUUGUGAGUUUUAUUAAGUUUUAACAUGGUUAUAGCUUUGGUGACAUACAAGAGUGGUGGAGCAGAUGUAUUUCAUAAGAUCUUAAAGUUUGUUGUUUUGCAACGAGUUCAGUUGGAAAAUAUAAAUGAAUUUAGCAAUA